rnacentral:rRNA from 1 species
GACGAACGCUGGCGGCGUGCUUAGCACAUGCAAGUCGAACGGAAAGGCCCUGCUUUUGUGGGGUGCUCGAGUGGCGAACGGGUGAGUAACACGUGAGUAACCUGCCCUUGACUUUGGGAUAACUUCAGGAAACUGGGGCUAAUACCGGAUAGGAGCUCCUGCUGCAGGGUGGGGGUUGGAAAGUUUCGGCGGUUGGGGAUGGACUCGCGGCUUAUCAGCUUGUUGGUGGGGUAGUGGCUUACCAAGGCUUUGACGGGUAGCCGGCCUGAGAGGGUGACCGGCCACAUUGGGACUGAGAUACGGCCCAGACUCCUACGGGAGGCAGCAGUGGGGAAUAUUGCACAAUGGGCGGAAGCCUGAUGCAGCAACGCCGCGUGCGGGAUGACGGCCUUCGGGUUGUAAACCGCUUUCGCCUGUGACGAAGCGUGAGUGACGGUAAUGGGUAAAGAAGCACCGGCUAACUACGUG